rnacentral:tRNA from 1 species
AGCCGCAUAGCCAAGAGGUAAGGCAUCGGGUUUUGGCCCCGACACCGCAGGUUCAAGCCCUGCUGCGGCUGCCA